rnacentral:rRNA from 1 species
CUGAUCCAGCCAUGCCGCGUGCAGGAUGAAGGUCCUAUGGAUUGUAAACUGCUUUUGUAUGGGAGCAAUAAGGUCUUCGUGAAGGCCGAUGAGAGUACCAUACGAAUAAGCACCGGCUAACUCCGUGCCAGCAGCCGCGGUAAUACGGAGGGUGCAAGCGUUAUCCGGAUUUAUUGGGUUUAAAGGGUGCGUAGGCGGUGAUAUAAGUCAGCGGUGAAAGUUUUCAGCUCAACUGGAAAAAUGCCGUUGAUACUGUAUCGCUGGAAUAUGGUUGCUGUGAGUGGAAUGUGUAGUGUAGCGGUGAAAUGCUUAGAGAUUACACAGAAUAUCGAUUGCGAAGGCAGCUCACAAAGCCAUUAUUGACGCUGAGGCACGAAAGUGUGGGGAUCAAACAGGAUUAGAUACCCUGGUAGUCCACACUGUAAACGAUGAUAACUAGCUGUCGGCGAUACACAGUCGGUGGCCAAGCGAAAGCGAUAAGUUAUCCACCUGGGGAGUACGACCGCAAGGUUGAAACUCAAAGGAAUUGACGGGGGCCCGCACAAGCGGAGGAACAUGUGGUUUAAUUCGAUGAUACGCGAGGAACCUUACCCGGGCUCGAACGGUGCAGGAAUAUGGUAGAGAUAUCAUAGCUAGCAAUAGUCUGUAUCGAGGUGCUGCAUGGUUGUCGUCAGCUCGUGCCGUGAGGUGUCGGCUUAAGUGCCAUAACGAGCGCAACCCUUGUCGUUAGUUACCAUCAAGUAAAGUUGGGGACUCUAGCGAGACUGCCACCGUAAGGUGUGAGGAAGGGGGGGAUGACGUCAAAUCAGCACGGCCCUUACGUCCGGGGCGACACACGUGUUACAAUGGUAGGUACAGAGGGCCGCUAUCCAGCGAUGGAAUGCUAAUCUCAAAAACCUAUCUCAGUU